GCUCAGAACGAACGCUGGCGGCAGGCUUAACACAUGCAAGUCGAACGCCCCGCAAGGGGAGUGGCAGACGGGUGAGUAACGCGUGGGAACAUACCCUUUCCUGCGGAAUAGCUCCGGGAAACUGGAAUUAAUACCGCAUACGCCCUACGGGGGAAAGAUUUAUCGGGGAAGGAUUGGCCCGCGUUGGAUUAGCUAGUUGGUGGGGUAAAGGCCUACCAAGGCGACGAUCCAUAGCUGGUCUGAGAGGAUGAUCAGCCACAUUGGGACUGAGACACGGCCCAAACUCCUACGGGAGGCAGCAGUGGGGAAUAUUGGACAAUGGGCGCAAGCCUGAUCCAGCCAUGCCGCGUGAGUGAUGAAGGCCUUAGGGUUGUAAAGCUCUUUCACCGAUGAAGAUAAUGACGGUAGUCGGAGAAGAAGCCCCGGCUAACUUCGUGCCAGCAGCCGCGGUAAUACGAAGGGGGCUAGCGUUGUUCGGAAUUACUGGGCGUAAAGCGCACGUAGGCGGAUAUUUAAGUCAGGGGUGAAAUCCCGCAGCUCAACUGCGGAACUGCCUUUGAUACUGGGUAUCUUGAGUAUGGAAGAGGUAAGUGGAAUUCCGAGUGUAGAGGUGAAAUUCGUAGAUAUUCGGAGGAACACCAGUGGCGAAGGCGGC
rnacentral:rRNA from 1 species